UGCUCCCCUGGGCCCGCUCCGACUCCGAGCUCCCGAGGCCCCGGCCGCACGGCUCCCCGGGGACCUCGCGACCCGGGCGUGGACCGGGGUGUCCGUCCCACGGACGAGGGACGGCGGGGAGGUGUGGGCUGAUCCGUUGGCGUGAGUUUCGGAGCCUCCCCCGGCCCCGCUCCCCGGCUUGCCCGUGCCCUUCCUUCCUUCCUUCCCUCCCCGGGGGGGGCUUGGGCAGUGGAAGGGGAAGGGCCUGGGGACGAUCCUGACGGUAUCAGCCCUCUCGGCCCUUGGGGUGGUGGAGGGAGAUUCGGUGGGACCGAGGCCCGGUGAGCCCCGCGUCGGAGGCGCGGUACGGCUGCUCCCCGAAACCUGCUCGAGCUGAGGCGGGAUGCUCCCAGGCUGUAUCCGGUCCAGAGGAGUCAGUGAAGUGUUCCAGGUGAAGAGUACAAAGCGGAACUUCCCGAAAUGUGGAUUUACAGGAUAGGAUCAUCUGAAGGUGCUUCCGUUCCUGGAAUGAGGUAACUGAGGCACAGAGGAAGUGAAAUGACUUGCCC